GGCUGCCUAAUACUGCAAGUCGAACGAGAUCUUCGGAUCUAGUGGCGCACGGGUGCGUCCAUUAAAGGAAUCGGCUGGGUUCGGAAGAAUUCCCCCUUUAGGAAGGAAUAGGGGACGACGACGUAAGCAAAGAAACCGCCCAAGGAGGAGCCCGCGUAGGAUUAGGAAGGUGGGAGGUAAAGGCCCACCAAGCCGACGAACCGAGCGGGUCUGAGAGGAAGAGCAGCCACACGGGGACGGAGACACGGCCCAGACGCCGACGGGAGGCAGCAGAGGGAAAGGGACAAGGGGCGAAAGCCGGAGCCAGCAAGGCCGCGGGAGUGAAGAAGGCCGAGGGUUGAAAAGCGCGUACCCGGGAGAAAGACAGACCGGGAUUUUUAGCUCCGGCUAACUCCGUGCCAGCAGCCGCGGUAAUACGGAGGGAGCUAGCGUUGUUCGGAAUUACUGGGCGUAAAGCGCACGUAGGCGGCUAUUCAAGUCAGAGGUGAAAGCCCGGGGCUCAACCCCGGAACUGCCUUUGAAACUAGAUAGCUUGAAUCCAGGAGAGGUGAGUGGAAUUCCGAGUGUAGAGGUGAAAUUCGUAGAUAUUCGGAAGAACACCAGUGGCGAAGGCGGCUCACUGGACUGGUAUUGACGCUGAGGUGCGAAAGCGUGGGGAGCAAACAGGAUUAGAUACCCUGGUAGUCCACGCCGUAAACGAUGAUAACUAGCUGUCAGGGCACAUGGUGUUUUGGUGGCGCAGCUAACGCAUUAAGUUAUCCGCCUGGGGAGUACGGUCGCAAGAUUAAAACUCAAAGGAAUUGACGGGGGCCUGCACAAGCGGGGGAGCAUGUGGUUUAAUUCGAAGCAACGCGCAAAACCCUUACUACGUUUGACAUCCCUAUCGCGGAUCGUGGAAACACUUUUCUUCAUUUCGGCUGGAUAGGUGACAGGGCUGCAUGCCUGUCGUCACCUCGGGCCGGAAAAUGUGGGUUAAUUCCCCCACCAAGCCCACCCUCGCCUUUAUUUGCCGCAUUUGGUGGGUACUCCAAGGACCGCCGGUGAAACCCGAAGAAGGGGGAAGACUCCAGUCUCGUGGGCCUUUCGUUGGGCUACCCCGGCUAAAUGG
rnacentral:rRNA from 1 species